CUCUUUAACGCGCAAGUGUUGCUUUAUUCUUCAAGUAUACGCAGUAGUAUACGUACGUGGCAUAAUGCGUGACCUGUGUAAUGACGUAAUUUGAUAAAGAAAGACGCAUCGUAUACGGCUCUCGCUGUCAUUAGGAGUGCCACCUGGAAUGAACAGAGAUGAGGACGGCUUACUCGCUUCUGUGCUGCAUAAUCGUAACGGCGAAUUUCGUACCCACUGCACAGUGGAGAGAAGAUGCGGAAGAUAGAUCGAGACUGUAUUGGAGCACAAUUCCAUGCUCCGUUGACGACGGUGGUCAGAAGGUUUGCAAUAUGUGGUGUACCAGCGCGACACCACCUUCUGCAGGCGACUGCGUAAGGGGCUGGUGUGUAUGCGAGCAGGACUGACAAGGCCCCUCUACAUUCCUCGCAAAUAUCACGUCUCUUGUACCAAAAUAAAGCCAUCACGAAGAAAUA